CUUUCUAACAAUGGCAUCUAAGAGUGGAAAGUUUAACUUCCUUUAGGAAUUUCUGGAGAGGUAACCUGGGGUCUCCCCAAGCUUCCUGCAGCCCAACCAACCAACCCACCAACCUGGCUGAUGCAUAUGUGGAAUAUCGGCUUCCUGUUCUCUGAAGGGCAAAAAGGACACUGAAGUAUAGCCUACAGGCUCUGCGGCCCAAAGCUCAUUAAGAAGAUAAUAGAUUUAGGCCAGCCGCAGUGGCUCACGCCUGUAAUCCUAGCAUUUUAGGAGGCCUAGGUGGGUGGAUUGCCUGAGCUCAGGAGUUCGAGAUCAGCCUGGGCAACAUGGUGAAACCUCGUCUCUACUGAAAUACAAAAAAUUAGCCAGGCCUGAUGGUGUACGCCUGUAGUUCUAGCUACUCGGGGGGCUGAGGCAGGAGAAUUGCUUGAACUGGGGAGACGGAGGUUUCAGUGAGCUGAGACUGCAUCACUGCACUCCAGCCUGGGUGACAGAGCAAGACUCUGUCUCAAAAAAAAAAAAAAAAAAAAGAAGAAGAAGAUAAUAGAUUUAGAAGACACACAAAUAAUUGUUUAAAAGAAUGGCCCUAAUGUGCUGCAGUCUGAGGUGGAAGGUUAGUAAGGUCUGGACUUCCUCGGAAUAUGACUGAGUUUUCAGAUCACGUGAGACGUCUUCAUGGAAGACAUUGAGGUAGUUACCACAUCUUCUGGAUGUCCCACAGCCAACAGCAUAUCAAUUUGGGUGAGUUUUAAAGAUUUGGCCCUGAUAAUGGCACCCUGACUUGAAGUCCCUGAGAACCCAGGGAUAUUUAGGAAGGUCAUAUGACUUCCAAAGGGUCCCUGAUUGAAUGCUUUCUCUCCUAAUCAUGGGGAAGAGGGUGGCACAGCAUGGGGCUAAAUCCUCACUCCAUCCUUACUCAUGUUCAAACAAUCCCAGACUUACUGAUCCAUGAAAUGUGUCUCAGGUGUGUCUGUGGUUUCUGGGUUAGGAAGUAAAUGGACUUUUGCAAUUCUUUCUUAUAUAAAUAGGAAAACUGAGAUUUAGAAAAGUUGUGACAUGCCCAAGAUUGUGACAAAGCCAAAUAAGAACUUGGUUCUCUGAACUUUCAGGCUCCUUCAGACAUUAAAAGCAGGAAUUGGAUUAGUGUAGCUGCCGGAGGUUUCCCACUGUCUCCACUCCCAGUUUCCACGUGCAUUUCCUCUGGUGCUCAUCAAGUGUACAGUGCUGCUGUGGUGAGAAUUUGUCAAAUGAGUCUCCAGUCUCAGAAGGUCUAUGUAAAUGGGGUUUCAAGUCAUCACAGGGACUGAAUUUAGUCUCAAGUACCAUAAAGAAAAUACUUUUAAAGCUCUUCUAAAAAUAAA
rnacentral:lncRNA from 1 species